rnacentral:sRNA from 1 species
GCCAGGCGUGGUGGUGCACGCCUGUAAUCCUAGCUACUCAGGAGGCUGAGGCAGGAGAAUUACUUGAACCCACGAGGUGGAGGUUGCAGUGAGCUGAGAUCACGCCACUGCACUCCAGCCUGGGUGACAGAGUGAGACUCUGUCUCAG